UACGGAGGAUGCGAGCGUUAUCCGGAUUUAUUGGGUUUAAAGGGUGCGUAGGCGGAUCGUUAAGUCAGUGGUCAAAUUGAGGGGCUCAACCCCUUCCCGCCAUUGAAACUGGCGAUCUUGAGUGGAAGAGAAGUAUGCGGAAUGCGUGGUGUAGCGGUGAAACGCAUAGAUAUCACGCAGAACCCCGAUUGCGAAGGCAGCAUGCCGGCUUCCUACUGACGCUGAAGCACGAAAGCGUGGGGAUCGAACAGG
rnacentral:rRNA from 1 species